AAAUGGCACCUUUUACCCAUGUACUGUAAGGUGGCGGUGACUGAUAGAGAAAAUCAAUAAUGCAUAAUGGGUUCAUCCUCUCUCUAACCUCUGAUCUUGAUCCCACAGCACACCACAACUGUGAUAUGUUAUCCGGACACGAUUGUAUAUAGUAUUUGAAUGAUUUGCUCCAAAUUAAAUAUGUGUUUUUCUCCUUAAUUAUUGUGCCAUGUUAGUCGCAGCUUAUAUAGCUAGUGAGUACCUACAAAAAAAAUAUCAUCAUCUCUAUACUGGAUUUUUUUUUUCUUAACCAAAUUUAUUUAUGAUUCUUGAUAACCUGCUUAGUUGGAAAAUUUUAUGGUCCAAAACGUGUAUCUAUACCUAAUAAUAAAAAUAUAAAAUUUCCUCUGUAUUUUUCUUUUCGCCUCUUCUUUUCUUCCACCUCUUCCUCCUCCAAUCAGGCCCGACUUGGUAUGGGUUUCAUUGCCAACGGAUUAGGAAUAGCGAAGAGAACAGAAAGAAAUAUGAGGUUUCAGAUGUAGAAAAAAGUGGGAGAGCCUUAAUAAUUUUUAAAAUAUAUUAGGGUUCCUAAUGCAAAAUGUCUAGAUCCGAAUGGACUUCUCCUGUUGUGCUUCUUUUCUAAUCUAGGUUGAAUUCUUGCAGUUGGGCUGGCUUCGUUGUGGGUUGGACCAAGCCCAUGCAAGCCCUUUUUCUUUUCUUUUCUUUUCUUUUUUUCUUUUUCUAUAAAAACAUAGAUAUUGCAAAAUUUGCUAAAAUUAUAGAAAAUCAUAAAAAAUACCAAACCAGUUUUGCAACACAACUAAACACUUUAUAAUCGGAAACUUCGCAUAUUAAUAUGUAAUGAAAUCUAUACAAAUGUAUUUAUGUAAUUUCCUAAAAAUUCAAGAGACUUCUCAAUCACUGGUGGAUAGACAAAUCCUUGACACAUUGACAAAAAAAAUUACAGAGGUUGAUAUGAUGCAUCAAGAAAGCUACAAAAGAUCGAUAUUGAGUUAUAGAAACACAUGUGUAUUAUGAAAAGUUAAAGUUAUGAUAUACUUAUAGCUAUAUAAUUAUGUGCUUGCAACGAAAGGAAAAAUAUACUAAGGUGUAUUUCAAUUUGAUACGAGUUUAGUAAGAUAUUGUUAUUUAUUGUUAGCAUUAACUUAUACUAUGGAUGUCAUGGCCAUCAUAAAAUAAAUUAUAAAAGGACGAUAAAACAUAAAUAGAUAUGUACCGUUGACGUCAUUGUUUUGCAUGAAUGCUUGAUAGUUUUUUCUCCUCUAUUGCAACGCACAGGCAUAUUUGCUAGAAAUAUAAAACCUAGAGUUCUAGGAGGGUCGACAUUAGAUUGGCAGUAGUCUAUCGACCCACGUGCUGCUUUAUGGGCCAUUAAAGGUUAAUGGAAUCAGGUGGUUCCUUAAAAAAUCAAGAUAGAUAACUUCAAAUCUUCACUUUCUCUUAUUAUUUGUUUAUAUAUUCUAACAAUAUUCUAUAUUUUUUUAUUUUUUUCUGGUUGCAAUAAAAUUUAAGAUACCACACGCUAUAAGUUUUCAUUUGUGCAUUCACCUGCAUGUGUGUUAGGUAUAUAUCAAUCUGAAACUCUAUCUCAUAUCUAUAUCUAUAUCUAUAUCUAUAUCUAUAUCUAUAUCUAUAUCUAUAUCUAUAUCUAUAUCUAAGAGGAUGUUGGCUCCUCUAUUUUUCUCCAUCACCCCCUAAUUUUGUUGCCCCCUACUCCACUCUCCCUUUUUUUUUCCUCUGUGCAUCUCUUCUUCGCUCUAUCGCUGCAGCUCUCUCGUUGGCUCUGACACGAUGAUUGCCACCAACGUAGCUGUGGUGGGCCUCACCGGCUCUGCUCCUCUGAUGGCACUCCUCCACACGACGGACCUCCCUCGGCGGCACAUCCCCAACGCAAGACUGCCCACGACGCGGCGGUCUUGCUUGCCCGGUGGCACAUCCCUAGCAUGGGACUUCCUCUGGUGUUGUAGUCGCGCCUAGCCUAGCGCUGCCCCAGUCUUGCCCCUCGUGCGGCAGCCGUGACAUGCUCCGUGUGGCUU
rnacentral:lncRNA from 1 species